UACGUAGGGUGCAAGCGUUAAUCGGAAUUACUGGGCGUAAAGGGCGCGUAGGCGGCCUGCUAAGUCGAACGUGAAAUCCCCCGAGCUCAACUCGGGAACUGCGUCCGAUACUGGCAGGCUUGAAUCCGGGAGAGGGAUGCGGAAUUCCAGGUGUAGCGGUGAAAUGCGUAGAUAUCUGGAGGAACACCGGUGGCGAAGGCGCAUCCUGGACCGGCAUUGACGCUGAGGCGCGAAAGCCAGGGGGAGCAAAACGGGG
rnacentral:rRNA from 1 species